rnacentral:rRNA from 1 species
UACGUAGGGUGCAAGCGUUGUCCGGAAUUAUUGGGCGUAAAGAGCUCGUAGGCGGUCUGUCGCGUCUGGUGUGAAAUCCCGAGGCUCAACCUCGGGCCUGCAGUGGGUACGGGCAGACUGGAGUGCGGUAGGGGAGAAUGGAAUUCCUGGUGUAGCGGUGAAAUGCGCAGAUAUCAGGAAGAACACCAAUGGCGAAGGCAGCUCUCUGGGACGGUACUGACGCUGAGACGCGAAAGCGUGGGGAGCGAACAGG